rnacentral:rRNA from 1 species
GACGCCUGGCGGCAGGCCUAACACAUGCAAGUCGAACGCUGUAGACAAUACAGAGCUGGCAGACGGGUGACUAACACGUGGGAAUCUUCCUAUCGGUGCGGAAUAUGCUCAAGGAAACUUGGGGUAAUACCGCAUACGCCCUUGGGGGGAAAGAUUUAUCGCCGAUAGACGAGCCCGCGUCUGAUUAGCUAGUUGGUGAGGUAAUGGCUCACCAAGGCGACGAUCAGUAGCUGGUCUGAGAGGAUGAUCAGCCACACUGGGACUGACACACGGCCCAGACUCCUACGGGAGGCAGCAGUGGGGAAUAUUGGACAAUGGGCGAAAGCCUGAUCCAGCCAUGCCGCGUGAGUGACGAAGGUCUUCGGAUUGUAAAGCUCUUUUGGCGGGGACGAUAAUGACGGUACCCGCAGAAUAAGCCCCGGCUAACUUCGUGCCAGCAGCCGCGGUAAUACGAAGGGGGCUAGCGUUGUUCGGAAUUACUGGGCGUAAAGCGCACGUA